UACGUAGGGUGCAAGCGUUAAUCGGAAUUACUGGGCGUAAAGCGUGCGCAGGCGGUUUUGUAAGUCUGUUGUGAAAUCCCCGGGCUCAACCUGGGAAUGGCAAUGGAGACUGCAAGGCUAGAGUUUGUCAGAGGGGGGUGGAAUUCCACGUGUAGCAGUGAAAUGCGUAGAUAUGUGGAGGAACACCGAUGGCGAAGGCAGCCCCCUGGGAUGUGACUGACGCUCAUGUACGAAAGCGUGGGGAGCAAACAGG
rnacentral:rRNA from 1 species